GGAAGGAGGCUGAUCUGGAAGAGAGCUGGGAAAUCGCUCGGCAUGCUGGAUGCGACUGGAACAGGCAAAAGAAGCUAGGGGGAAGGCAUGGAUUUGGAUGCGGGGCACUGGGAUCAUGGACUCGGGAAGAGGGGCUGGCCACGGGAUCACUUGGAGGGCGCCGCGGGAUCGACGGGAGGAAGAAGAAGAUGGCUGGAUCGAUGGUUCCUUGAUGGCAAGAUACGAAAGAGACGGACGCACAGGCGUUGAUCGCGGGAGAAGAGCUUCGGAGGAUGUGGAUUGCACGUGGGAGAACUCC
rnacentral:lncRNA from 1 species